GACGAACGCUGGCGGCGUGCCUAACACAUGCAAGUCGAACGGAACUGUUUUGAAAGAUUUCUUCGGAAUGAAUUUGAUUUAGUUUAGUGGCGGACGGGUGAGUAACGCGUGAGUAACCUGCCUUCAAGAGGGGGAUAACAUUCUGAAAAGAAUGCUAAUACCGCAUGACAUAUCGGAAUCACAUGGUUUUGAUAUCAAAGAUUUUAUCGCUUGAAGAUGGACUCGCGUCCGAUUAGUUAGUUGGUGAGGUAACGGCUCACCAAGACCGCGAUCGGUAGCCGGACUGAGAGGUUGAACGGCCACAUUGGGACUGAGACACGGCCCAGACUCCUACGGGAGGCAGCAGUGGGGGAUAUUGCGCAAUGGGGGCAACCCUGACGCAGCAACGCCGCGUGAAGGAUGAAGGUUUUCGGAUUGUAAACUUCUUUUAUUAAGGACGAAAAUUGACGGUACUUAAUGAAUAAGCUCCGG
rnacentral:rRNA from 1 species